rnacentral:rRNA from 1 species
GUCUGGCCUGCUCAGUGACAUUAAGAUGUUAAAUAGCCGCGGUAUCUUGACCGUGCAAAGGUAGCAUAAUCAUUAGUUUUUUAAUUGUAAACUGGUAUGAAUGGUCGAACAAAGGAAUAACUGUCUUUUUUAUUAAAAUUGAAUUUAACUUCUGAGUGAAAAGGCUUAGAUUACCUAGAGGGACGAUAAGACCCUAUAAAGCUUUAUAAGUUUAGAAAUUUUAAAUAUAUUAAUAAUGACUUUUUUUUUCAAAAACUUAUUUAGUUGGGGCGACGAAGGUAUAAAAAAUGGUAACUGCCACCUUAGGCAUACAAUAGUGAUUGUUUAAAUGAUUCUAGUUGAUCCUUCAUAAAGAUUAAAAGAACAAGUUACUUUAGGGAUAACAGCGUUAUUUCUUCUGAGAGUCCUUAUCAAAGAAGAAGUUUGCGACCUCGAUGUUGAAUUAAGAGAUUCUUCAUAGUGCAGCAGCUAUGUCAGAGGGUCUGUUCGACCCUUAAUAUCUUACAUGAUUUGAGUUCAGACCGGCGAGAGCCAGGUCGGUUUCUAUCUUCUAGAUUAAAGAAGAUUAUUUUAGUACGAAAGGAUUAAAUAAUCAAAAGUAUUUUAUGAGUUGUAAU